AUACGGAGGGGGCUAGCGUUGUUCGGAAUUACUGGGCGUAAAGGGCGCGUAGGCGGAUUAGUAAGUUGGGAGUGAAAGCCCGGGGCUUAACCUCGGAACUGCUUUCAAAACUGCUAGUCUUGAGUGAAGUAGGGGGUGAUGGAAUUCCUAGUGUAGAGGUGAAAUUCUUAGAUAUUAGGAGGAACACCGGUGGCGAAGGCGGUCACCUGGACUUCAACUGACGCUGAGGCGCGAAAGCGUGGGGAGCAAACAGGAUUAGAAACCCUAGUAGUCC
rnacentral:rRNA from 1 species